GAUGAACGCUGGCGGCGUGCCUAAUGCAUGCAAGUAGAACGCUGAAGGAAGGAGCUUGCUCUUUCCGGAUGAGUUGCGAACGGGUGAGUAACGCGUAGGUAACCUGCCUGGUAGCGGGGGAUAACUAUUGGAAACGAUAGCUAAUACCGCAUAACAGUAGAUGUUGCAUGAUAUCUACUUAAAAGGUGCAAUUGCACCACUACCAGAUGGACCUGCGUUGUAUUAGCUAGUUGGUGAGGUAACGGCUCACCAAGGCGACGAUACAUAGCCGACCUGAGAGGGUGAUCGGCCACACUGGGACUGAGACACGGCCCAGACUCCUACGGGAGGCAGCAGUAGGGAAUCUUCGGCAAUGGACGGAAGUCUGACCGAGCAACGCCGCGUGAGUGAAGAAGGUUUUCGGAUCGUAAAGCUCUGUUGUAAGAGAAGAACGAGUGUGAGAGUGGAAAGUUCACACUGUGACGGUAUCUUACCAGAAAGGGACGGCUAACUACGUG
rnacentral:rRNA from 1 species